rnacentral:rRNA from 1 species
GGGUUGAUUAUGGCUCAGAUUGAACGCUGGCGGGAUGCUUUACACAUGCAAGUCGAACGGCGGCACGGACUUCCGGUCUGGUGGCGAGUGGCGAACGGGUGAGUAAUGUAUCGGAACAUUGCCUGGCUGGCGGGGGAUAACUACGCGGCGUAGCUAAUACCACAGCCACGCCCUUGAGGAAAGCGGGGGACCUUCGGGCCUCACUGGCCGACAGCCGAUAUCGGAUUAGCUAGUUGGUGGGGUAACGGCUCACCAAGGCGACGAUCCGGCUGGUUUGAGAGGACGACCAGCCACACUGGGACUGAGACACGGCCGGGGCUCUACAGGGAGGCAGCAGUGGGAAUUUUGGACGAUAAGAGGAAACCCUGAUCCAGCCAUCCCCGCGUGUGCGAUGAAGGCCUUCGGGUUGUAAAAGCACUUUUGGCGGGAAAGAAACGGCGCAGGAUAAUACCCCGUGCAACUGACGGUACCUGCAGAAUAAGCACCGGCCCCCAACUACGUGCCAGCCGCGGUGGCUGCGUAGGGUGCAAGCGUUAAUCGAAUUACUGGGCGUAAAGCGUGCGCAGGCGGUUCGGAAAAGAAAGAUGUGAAAUCCAGAGCUUAAUAACUUUGGAACUGCAUUUUUAACUACCGAGCUAGAGUGUGUCAGAGGAGGUGGAAUUCCGCGUGUAGCAGUGAAAUGCGUAGAUAUGCGGAGGAACACCGAUGGCGAAGGCAGCCUCCUGGGAUAACACUGACGCUCAUGCACGAAAGCGUGGGAGCAAACAGGAUUAGAUACCCUGGUAGUCCACGCCCUAAACGUGUCAACUAGCUGUUGGGGCCUUCAGACCUUGGUAGCGCAGCUAACGCGUGAAGUUGACCGCCUGGGGAAGUACGGUCGCAAGAUUAAAACUCAAAAGGAAUUGACGGGGACCCGCACAAGCGGUGGAUGAUGUGGAUUAAUUUCAAAUUGCAACUGUAAAAACCUUACCUACCCUUGGCAUGUCUGGAAUCCAAGAAGAGGGUGGUGCUCACCGAAGAACCGGAACACAGGUGCUGCAUGGCUGUCGUCAGCUCGUGUCGUGAGAUGUUGGGUUAAGUCCCGCAACGAGCGCAACCCUUGUCAUUAGUUGCUACAAGAAAGGGCACUCAAUGAGACUGCCGGUGACAAACCGGAGGAAGGUGGGGAUGACGUCAAGUCCUCAUGGCCCUUAUGGGUAGGGCUUCACGUCAUACAAUGGUCGGGACAGAGGGGUCGCCAACCCGCGAGGGAGCCAAUCCCAGAAACCCGAUCAUGGUCGGAUCGCAGUCUGCAACUCGACUGCGUGAAGUCGGAAUCGCUGGUAAUCGCGGAUCAGCAUGUCGCGGUGAAUACGUUCCCGGGUCGCCUUUUACCGCCCGUCACACCAUGGGAGUGGGUUUUACCAGAAGUAGUUAGCCUAACCGUAAGGAGGCAGUUACCGGUAGGAUUCAUGACUGGGGUGAAGUCGUAACAAGGUAG